rnacentral:rRNA from 1 species
UACGAAGGGGGCUAGCGUUGUUCGGAAUUACUGGGCGUAAAGCGCACGUAGGCGGCUCGUUAAGUCAGGGGUGAAAUCCUGGGGCUCAACUCCAGAACUGCCUUUGAUACUGGCGUUCUCGAGUGUGGGAGAGGUUGGUGGAACUCCGAGUGUAGAGGUGAAAUUCGUAGAUAUUCGGAAGAACACCAGUGGCGAAGGCGGCCAACUGGCCCAUUACUGACGCUGAGGUGCGAAAGCGUGGGGAGCAAACAGG